GACGAACGCUGGCGGCGUGCCUAAUACAUGCAAGUCGAGCGAACUGAUUAGAAGCUUGCUUCUAUGACGUUAGCGGCGGACGGGUGAGUAACACGUGGGCAACCUGCCUGUAAGACUGGGAUAACUCCGGGAAACCGGAGCUAAUACCGGAUAACAUUUUCUCUUGCAUAAGAGAAAAUUGAAAGAUGGUUUCGGCUAUCACUUACAGAUGGGCCCGCGGUGCAUUAGCUAGUUGGUGAGGUAACGGCUCACCAAGGCAACGAUGCAUAGCCGACCUGGGGGGGUGAUCGGCCACACUGGGACUGAGACACGGCCCAGACUCCUACGGGAGGCAGCAGUAGGGAAUCUUCCGCAAUGGACGAAAGUCUGACGGAGCAACGCCGCGUGAGUGAUGAAGGCUUUCGGGUCGUAAAACUCUGUUGUUAGGGAAGAACAAGUACAAGAGUAACUGCUUGUACCUUGACGGUACCUAACCAGAAAGCCACGGCUAACUACGUGCCAGCAGCCGCCGUAA
rnacentral:rRNA from 1 species